CUCUUAGACCUGGCAAGAUUGAUGUGGAUGGAGGUGAGCAGAACCUGAAGGAGCUGAAUGCAAUAUUCUCAAAGCCCCUGAAAGAGCUGUUAUCACUGGAAAAAGAGGUUGAUGAUGCGGCACUCAUAUCAAUAGACAGCAAGGGAACAGAUGUUAGAGUGCGUCAAGGGGCACAGUUUAACAUACAGAGGUUAGCAUUCGAAGAAGGUCAUGGGGUUGAAACGCUUGAGGAAGCCAAAACAGCACUGUGGAACUUUAUUCACAGAGGUCGUGGCUUGGACAAAUUUUGWGGCCAAUUGCUUUUGUUUACUAAUAGUAGAAGUAAAUAAAAAAUAGGAAAGAAAAAGAAAGUCCAACUCCAUGUAUUCCUAAUUCCUUCUCACUCUGAAAUGUGAAUGAUGAUGAUGAUAUAUUACUGUUA